ensembl:snRNA U6 U6 spliceosomal RNA
GUGCUCACUUCGGCAGCACAUAUACUAAAAUUGGAAGGAUACAGAGAUUAGCACGGCCCCUGUGCCAGGAUGACAUGUGAAUUUGUUAAGCAUUCCACAUUUUU